rnacentral:rRNA from 1 species
GAUGAACGCUGGCGGCGUGCUUAACACAUGCCAGUCGAACGAAGCAUUUAGGACAGAUUACUUCGGUUUGAAGUUCUUUAUGACUGAGUGGCGGACGGGUGAGUAACGCGUGGGUAACCUGCCUUGUACUGGGGGAUAGCAGCUGGAAACGGCUGGUAAUACCGCAUAAGCGCACAAUGUUGCAUGACAUGGUGUGAAAAACUCCGGUGGUAUAAGAUGGACCCGCGUCUGAUUAGCUAGUUGGUGAGAUAACAGCCCACCAAGGCGACGAUCAGUAGCCGACCUGAGAGGGUGACCGGCCACAUUGGGACUGAGACACGGCCCAGACUCCUACGGGAGGCAGCAGUGGGGAAUAUUGCACAAUGGAGGAAACUCUGAUGCAGCGACGCCGCGUGAGUGAAGAAGUAAUUCGUGAUGUAAAGCUCUAUCAGCAGGGAAGAUAGUGACGGUACCUGACGAAGAAGCUCCGGCUAAAUACGUG